rnacentral:lncRNA from 1 species
CUUGUAUCACUUUUUCUGACCACGUUUGUGAAUGCUUGCCAGGUGUGAGUUCUCCCUAUACAUACACACACACAUAUACAUAUAUUGGCAAGUGGACAUUGGGCAUUCAGACAGUAUGUCCAGCCCAAUGGAGUUGUGCUCUCUGCAGUAGACUGGGAAUGCUUGUUAGUUUAAUUCGAAUAAAGACCUCAGCGGGUGGUCUCUUAUCCUGCCAAGUGAUCUUCAGAAUCUUACUAAGACGAGUUCAAAUGGAAGCGAUUCAGUUUCCUGGCCUGGCGCUAGUGGACAUCAGGUUUCACAGGCACCCAACAAGGAGGUCAGCAACGGUUCUGCAGACCUUUGGUUUGGUGGUCAUUCUCCCAUGCUUUCCUUCAGGGUCUCACAAACUCUGCGCUAGCUCUGACAAUGCUUGUGUCAACCUCCUUAUCAAGGUGGACAUCCCUGGGAAGCAUGCUGCCAAGAAAAGGAACUCGGCCACAGCGUUCAAAACUUCCCCACUUGCUGUAACUGGUGGUUGCUGCAGCUGGAUGGUGUGGUGCUGGCUGGUGGAGAAUGUUCAUUGUUAAGCCAAAAUUAGCACAAACAACAGAGAACUGAACCGUACUUUGUUACAUCUCGGCUUUGGAGGCUGCAUUGAGCACACAAUUAUCUGCAAACAAAAAAAUCGUUCACCAAUACUUCUUCCACUUUGGUUUUGGCUUGUAGCCUUUUCAAGUUGAAGAAUCUACUGUCAGUCAAAAAUCUGAGUACUCUCAGAAUGCCUAACAUUGCGCAGAGAGUCAUUGACAGUUCACCCUGCCUCCUGUGUCAGCAGAAACAUUUCUCUCUGCUCUUUCCUCUCCAUGUAGGAUUGGGUCUCUGGAGAAUGAGCUGGCAUUGCUCUAAUUCAGGACUUAUAAACCCAAAGCCUCCUCCUCUUAGUUAUAGUCAAGGAACUGGAAGGAGAGUAUGGCUGUGCAGCAAAAGAGUUGGACAAAUACAUUUUAAAUGAUUCUGGAUUCACAGUGAUGUCAGGACAUCUCAAGUCUUCUUGACUCUGAAGUCGGCUUUCUCUGGAAGGACUUUUAAAAUAUAGGCUCACACUGUCAAGUGAGUGAAUAAUUUCUUUAUCUCUGAAAAAGUGGCUUCCUUACUUUCUCAACCUUCAAUGAACUUAGAUAUCCAAAGUGUGAAUCUGGAGGCUGUCAGUGACAACCAUGACACUGGUUUAGUAAGUAUGUCAGAUGAAAUGGGUUUCUACAACUUUCUCCAUAGGUACCACGGCUAUGAUUGGCAAUAGUGUGUAUGAAUCCCAAG